AUGAUGGAAUUUAUAAAACAGCUGUGGUUGGUGUAUGUCCUGCAGAAUCAGUCUUAUGAUCUGCGCAUGGUAAGCAUCAAGAACGAUAGCCACCCGAAGACAUACGACCGUUACGAUCCGGCGUUUGGUCUUCACAAAAUUUGA
rnacentral:tRNA from 1 species